rnacentral:misc_RNA from 1 species
UAUAUAAAAUAAUUUAUUUUAAUACACAAGUAUUUAUUUUCAUUUAUUAAAAACAAAAAACUUAAAAUAUUACGACUCAAUUAAUUAACUUCCAGAACCAUUUUAAUUCAUAACAAUUUAUAUAUAUAUUAAUUUCUAUAAGCAUUUUGUUAACUCAAUUAAUAAAACACAAAAUUAUUUAUUGGAUUGUAUUAUAUAACGCAGACCUAGCGGCAGUCUUUAUCAUAAAAGCUAUCAACGGCCGCUUUUCUGACUAAUCGUCAACGCGAAACCCGGUUUUCCAUCCAUCCAUCCAUCAUUGGAGUGGGGCCUGGAACGGUCACGACGACGUCCGACACACACCACCAUCAAAACUGUGGCAUUGGCAAACUGGAGAGGAUAUAAUUUGACGAAGCGGGUGAAGUUAUCAACAAUUACAAAGAUGUAUGAAAAUUGAAAAAUACCAGUGGGAAGAGGACCGUAGAAGUCCACUAACAAUUUAUCGAAAGGUUGAGAAGAGAGAAUAGAUUGCAUAGUACCCGCAAUGCAGGUGGUCUUUGAUUUACACUUCUGACACAACUCGCACGCUUGUACUAUACAACGGAUAAUUUUAUUGAAAGCGGGAAAGUAACAAAUAUUUUUUAUAGAUAGUAUAUAUUAGUAAUACUAAUAUAGUUUAAUUCCUAAUGCCUCUUUCCAAAAUAGCCUAUGUUCAAGAGUUUUGAGGACUAUAAAAUGUGUAUUUGACGCUGUAUGAGGCACACGGACACAACAGGAGAAAUUGUUGAAUAUCAUACAUAUUAUUUUUAUACAUAUAAUAUUUUUGUGUCGUUAUACCAUGUUGUUACCGAGUCAAAAGAAAAUCGAUUGGCCCAACGAUAACAACUAUACAGUAGAAACUCGAUCGACCGUCUCUCAGUUAUCCGACAUUGCUAUCGUUAAAUAUAAAUAAUUUGGUGUUGGUUUCAAUCAUAUAUGCUAGUUAAAUAAUAAAUAAUGAUAAAAAAACAACUAGGUGAGCCUGGCGCUCACUCAACAUCAAUGGCAGGACGUUACAUAACGAUACCAAAGACAAAUGAAUGAGACAAUUGAGAUUAACUCGUUGCGGCGAUUAUCAAGUGUGUACAAUUUUUUUCUAAUAUCCAACAUAUGAAAUAAACGUGCCGUGAACAAACAAAUUGAAUUAUUUUUAAUUAAAUUUAAUCAGUGAUUGACGAGUAACUCUUACAUAAAAUACGAAAUGUUGCAGCUGAAAAAGCUCGAGCGUCAAAAAAACAAAAGAAAAUCACAGAUUAUUUUGUUUAAAAUUGUUAGAUUUAAUUUAGUAGUAUAGUAGUAUGGUAUUUAAUAAGUAGUAUAUCCAUAGUCCCGGUAUCGAUAGUGAAGGUUGAUCGAGUUUCUACUGUAUUAGAUGACUGAUCAAAAUUACUAAAAUGACCAAAUCAUUCGAUCGAAUCUAACCUAACCUAACUAGACUGUCCAGAUUCAAAUAAUUCAAAUUAUUCAAACGACUGAAAAUUUUCAUCUCUAAUCUGACCGUACUCCGUCACACGUGGACUGCAACCUCAAUAUUCAACUGUUUUCGUUUUCGUAGUAACCAUAUUACAUAAACAAUAUAUCAUCAUGUCAUCGUAUAAACUAACAUACUUCAACGUAACUGGAUUGGGCGAACCUAUUAGAUUCUUGCUGUCCUACUUGAACAUUGAUUUCGAAGAUGUUCGUUUUGAACUUGAACAAUGGCCAUCGAUCAAACGUAGUAAGUAACCAUAAAUACCAAUUUGUAAUGCUAUUUUCAUUAUACUAUUAUGUAUUCAAGAUAUAAAUAACGCUUAUUUUUCUACUGUCUUGAAAUAUGUAUUAUUACCCUGGAAUAAAGAACCAUAGAUACCUUACUAUGAAUAUUUGUAAUUAGGGCUCGUAAGUUGUUGCAUUUGCAUUUUUUUUUUUUUUUUUGGACUAUUAGAUUUAUUACUAGGUAAGCUAGAAAUUCAUUCCAUGACACUACGAAAAAAUAUCAAAUAUUAAUAGUGCUUAUUUUGGUAUAUUCA